AUGGGGGGUGAAUAGAAGAUUUUUAGAAUUUCAUCACUGAGAAAAUUACUUUUGAGGAAAUUUCUUACUAAUGACUAACUUACAGCGAAAACAGUAAAGAAUCAGAAGUGCAAAGUUUCACAACAGCAGUUUUUCAGAGUGAGGAAUGUGAAAACAGAUUGCACUGUGAGCACGCACGCAAAAUACAGAUGAUUAACUCGCAUGAAGAAUUUGGGGUUGAGGAAAUUCAGAGAAAGUCUUCAACAAAUUCUACAAACAGUAGCAGUGAAAGUCAUCAAC
rnacentral:lncRNA from 1 species